UUUUGAGGAGAGGAUCAAGGCUGCCACAAACAUAAAUUAUUUCACAGUAUCCGUUUCUUUUUUAAAAAGAAUGACAGUCAUCACACUGUUGCUGAGCAUCAGCUGCAUGUGUACAGGAAUUGAACAUCCUCGUUUCCAGGCUGGAUACUUUUGCUUAUGGCAACAAGAUAACCAGGCAUAUGAUUCUUAUGAAAAUCUCUGCCAGUGAUCGGUCAGGCUCCACUAAAGAAGGCUCAUUUUGGAUUUUUGGAAAGGAGUCUCCCACUGCAGCCACAGAUAGAGGAGCAGGUGUGCUAACCCCGGGGUCCGGAAGCUUUCCAAUUAAGACACAUAGAGCCGAAAACAUUCCUCCACACUGACCUCGCCAGCAAACGUGAAAUACAUUCACUUGGAUGGAAACACACCGACUGUUUCUGUGAGCCGUCCCUCCUGCUGCUCCACCCAGCCUAGUUUUAAAUCUAUUUAUGAGCUGUGUAAUAGCCCAACUUCAUCUGGGCCCAGCUGUUUAGUGACAAAGAUGUAGAGUUUUGUAAGCAAAUUACACGAUGCACUGAGUGUGUACUAAAUGUGUGUCUGUCUCUCUGCAUGUCCUUAUCUGUCCUGGAUUGGUACUUGCACAUAUGUACAUGUACUUCAAAUGUUGUUUUCUCACUAUUCCCCCUAAAAGUCUGUGUUUACUGUUUAAGUUUCAUACUCCAAGGAUAACGCAGCCUUCUCGAAAAUGGAGGUGAAAGUUGAGCACCUGCUGAGUUAAGAUACCAUAUGCUGCUUUUCUGGUGCUGGGCCAAGUUCAUGCUUCACUGACCGCAUCUGAAGCUACCAAAAUUAUUAGCUAUCAUCUACAUCCUUCUGAUAUUUGCCACUGCAAACAAACGGUUAUAACUUUUUAACUGAAUAAGAUUUCCAAGGAAAACAGAGGACAGGAGGAGCCACUGUGAGCUGUGUCAACUGAGAAGGAGGGAUAUUGCAGGACAACUUUAAAGGGAACUGAACUUUACUCUCAUUUUUGCAGGUUGCCCAUUAACACCAACCUUAUCAAAGUCAUUUGUCUCAAGACUUGUUGAACAUCUCCAAAAUGCUCUUUUGUCUGUGCUUGAGUGACACUGUUUUCUGAAAGGUUAAUUGCUUCUCGUAGUAAUAAAAGGCCAGAUUCGAGGCUGUGAUUGACAUAAAUAGAGGUGCUCUCCCUCCUCACCGAGGUUUCCUCUACAUCCAUCCUUGCUGCCAGGUCAGUUUCCGACAAUUGUGAUUUAUUAUUAAUGACAUUCAGUGCACUUCCUGUGACAUUCCUUUUAUUGGGUCUUGGGCCUUUAUGUGGCCCAUCUAAGAGAGAUGCUUGUCCGCCCAUGGCCAGCUUUAUAGCCUGC